rnacentral:rRNA from 1 species
GUGGGGAAUUUUGCGCAAUGGGGGAAACCCUGACGCAGCAACGCCGCGUGGAGGAUGAAGGUCCUUGGAUUGUAAACUCCUGUCAGCAGGGAAAAAGCGACUUAACCUCAUACGUUAGGGAGUUGAUUGUACCUGCAGAGGAAGCCCCGGCUAACUCUGUGCCAGCAGCCGCGGUAAUACAGAGGGGGCGAGCGUUAUUCGGAAUUAUUGGGCGUAAAGGGCGCGUAGGCGGCGUUUCAAGUGACGGGUGAAAUCCCUCGGCUUAACCGAGGAACUGCCUGUCAGACUGGAAUGCUUGAGACCGGGAGAGGUGAGUGGAAUUCCCAGUGUAGCGGUGAAAUGCGUAGAUAUUGGGAGGAACACCAGUGGCGAAGGCGGCUCACUGGACCGGAACUGACGCUGAGGCGCGAAAGCGUGGGGAGCAAACAGGAUUAGAAACCCCAGUAGUCC